CCCUUCCCAUUGAACUACAAGCACAGUCAGAGAACUGUGUUAAAGCACAAAAACUUGAAAAUCKAGUUCAGUCCACGCAGCCGUAAGGUGCGUUGUCGGGUAGAGAAGCCUGUGGAGGUACCACAACCAUCAGACUGUGAGAYGGGGAGUGGGAAAGCUGCCCCAAGACCUCCCGACACAAUACCGGAGUCCAAGUUAAAAAACCUGUCUGUUUUUAACUUCAACUCCUCCCAAGACUCGGGCUCCUCCUUUCCGCAGAGAGCGACUAACGAUGAGAAGCAGAAGGAGGCAACUAAGACAAGAAAUGGUGGUGUCAGGAAGCCUGCAGCCUGGGGUUGGCAAAAACCAACGACAYGUAAAGAAACAAAGCAGAAGAUCAAGAUGCAGAGGUUGGAGGCGAUCAACCGGCAGUGGGGCUUUGGUGGAGAAGGAGAUGUCAGAKAGGAAGGAGAGCAGGUCAUACACCARCCUCUCUCAGCUAGAUAAGCUCUCUGCUAAACACCUCAAACAAAAUGAGAAAUCUACUACAAAGCCAGUUCUAUUCUCUCAUCCCAAGCACACUCCCAAAAGAUCCUGUGCAGAAGAGAAAAACCUUUCACAGAGUACCCCCCCAAAAAACAAGGCAUCUCCCGGCCAGGGUAGAUGUCAGACGGGAGAGGGUUCCACUCCCAGCCCUGCCUACCAUGUUGACAGCCCCAGACAGAAGGACCACCACCAGCAGCCCUUGUUCCCCGGCCCCCCUGGGGAAGACAUCUCCAGGGAGAGUCUCACAGAGCAGCCCAGCUGUUGUGAAAAGAACCCACAAGGGAUAGACACCCCAGCACCUGGCUGCUAUAAAGGGAGAUGUGGAGAACGUGAAGGAGCUCCUAGACCAGGGGGCUGACCCCAACCUGAAAGACAACGCUGGAUGGACCCCACUGCACGAAGCGUAUAACCUGGGCCACCAGUAUGUAGUGGCGUUGGUUAGGAGAGGGGUGCUGUUGAACACACCAGGCAGUGAGAACGACUGUCCUCUACUUGACGCUGAACACUGGGCUUCACAGAGCGUUUUGAACGUGCUGUUUCACAUUGUCUUCAGUGUCUCUACGCUGCGUUGCUGCACACUGGAUUCGCAUAGCCYGUGUGUUCUUGUAWCAUAUUGUCACCAAUGAGCGAGUUCAUGUYACCAUGAUCCAUGCCUGUGUAACCCUAAUCUCCACACCCAGAAGAACAUCAGUAUUUCAUGCAGGCCAGUUACUAGAUGGCAAAGGGAAUAUGUUUGGUCUUCGUCCUGUGGACUAUGAUGUGAACUCAGGCAAUCCUUCAGUCAGCCUCUGAAGGACCCCAACUCCCCUCUCAGUCCUCCACCCAACCUCAGUAAGUUUAUUGUGUUUCAGGCCAGUGAUGGGGUGACACGGAUGGAACAGGUGGUAGUAUUGGGCAGCAAACUGUCCCAACAUAACCAGCUGGCCAAACUGGGAAUCCCCCUGGGAGGAAAGAGGGCUGAUGCCUUCUCUUGCUCAGUCACCUAUGUGGUGGUACCAGACGGGCCGAUGCCCACCACCUUGUUCUCUCUCCUGGGUCUCCUGAACGGCUGCUGGGUCCUCAACUUCAGCUGUAAGUAACCUAAGGCCAAUCAAAUCUGCUCUGCGGAGAAUGAGGAUGGAAUCACGGAAUCCAGACAUUAAAAYGGAAUUCAACAAUAUUCCAAAAUGUAUUGAACUGAACAAAAA